rnacentral:lncRNA from 10 species
AAUAGUAUAAAUCUGUAUAAAGCAGGCAGCAAAAUAUAAUGAACUUGAAGUCAUUCCCAUGGACAUAGCCAUAAUACAUAUAGAAAUUUAUUUCAGUUUAAAAAACUAGUUCAAAGCACAUUGUAAAAAUAAUAAACAUGAAAGACUUUCAAUGUAAUGUGUACAUAUGCCAUAAAAGUACAUAUUUCUCUGAACAUUAGUAAAUGACCAGCAACUGAAAAUAUGAUAAAAAUAGACUUCAAUGAAUACAUAAGCAGGAAAAAAAAUAGAGAGGAAAAAGGUAUCAUAAAGAUUUUGAUGUUUAGCCUCAAAGCCAAGUAAAGCAAGCCCAAAGCAUGAAAAUCCACUUACUAGCACUGCUAGAGUUUGGAGUUUUCUCUUUAUCCCAAGCAUUUAUCCCAUUAGCCACACAGUCACCAUUAUCUUUAAAAUACACCCCCUGCAGCCUAAUCGCUGUACAACUCUUGACAUUAAGUUUGAACUUAAUGUUCUGUCAAUGCCUCUGCUGCUUUCUGAGCCAUAGGCUACAAAUUAAUAACUUCAUAUGUAAAGAGGAAAAGCCCCAUGAUAAACCUCUGUGGGCUGCGGCUUGUUUGUUUUUAAAAACUACCAAUGAGACAUGAAACUUUCAUCUUUGUUGAGAUUUUUUAUGUUCCUGCACUCCAUCAUUAAGAGCAGCCUUGCUUGCUACAGCCCACCAGGAACAACUAACAUAUACCUGCUUGGUCUUACACCCUGCAACAGGCACAGAAGAUAGAAGCUAAAUUCUCAUACGAUUACUUGGAAUAAGGAGCAUGUGUUACUUUACAAUCUAUUGCCUAACAUAAGUCCCUUUUCCUGAGGUUGCCAUAAGCUUACAUGAGAAGGUGUCCUAAAUCUCUCACAGUAAUGCUGAAUCCGAAAGGGUUCGGAGCACUCAUUUUGAGGAGCACAGACCUCAUUCAGUGAAACAAUGAUUAAAGAUUCUGUUUCAUAUUUUAUUCUAAAAUCUUACAAGAAGAUACAGAAUCGCUUCCAGAAAAAUGUUGAACUCCAACAACAAUUUAAUAGAAUUAUAGAAAAUCUCAUUUCAACACAAGCCUCAGCAGAAGAGCUUCCUUGUUAUCUUCAAUGUAACACAAAUCAUCUUUUUAACAUAAAAUAUUAGGAAUCAUGCUAAUUUCACAGCUUUGUUACAUUAGAAAAAAAAGUUAAUGGUCAAUUCAGGCUGCAUCCAUUUUAUAAUGUACAGAUAAGGGGUAUUUUCUCAUAAAUCUGCUUAAAAAUGAAUAUUAAAGAGGGAUAACGUGACACCAUGUCAAAUAAACAAAUAAGGAUGAUAAAGGAAAUAUAGCUAUUUGAAGAAGAUUAUUUGAAAUAACACAUGGGCUUCCAUAGUCAUAUUUAGAGAAACAUUCUAACUAAAGUCAGACUUUGUAUUAAUUACCACAGAAUUCUUAAUUACAAAAUCUAACAUGAAGGAAUAAAAAAACAUUUUAAGGUUCCUUUCUUCAAAAAGUACACAAAGUUAGCUUGUCCUACAAUUUUCAGUCAUUAUCUUAUCUUAAUAAAUGAGUAUGAUAUUUAACAGCCCAACUCUCCUCUUUAAUUUGCUCUUGAUGUCUAAUGGCAGCGUUCAACCAUGACAAAGCAAAAUUACUAAAGUUCUCACCUUCAAGUUUAGAAAGAGCUAUUGUUGAUAGGUGAGCCAUGUACUCACACAACUUACAGUGGAUUUGCUGAACUCUCUUGGUGGCACCACAAAAUAUAUUUCUGCUCCUGUCUUCAUUACAAAUCAAAAUUGAAGGCUUAUACAAAUUUAAGCUGCAUUAAAAAUAUUCAACAGGAUCCCAGCACAUUGGGAGGCGGAUCACUUGAGGUCAGGAGUUUGAGACCAGCCAGGACAACAUGACGAAAUCCUAUCUCUACUGAAAAUACAAAAAUUAGCAGGGCGUGGUGGCGCCUGCCUGUAGUCCCAUAGUCCCAGCUACUUGGGAGGCUGAGGCAGGAGAAUCACUCGAGCCCAGGAGGCAGAGGUUGCAAUGGGCAAAGAUUGUGCCACUGCACUCCAGCAUGGGUGACAGAGCAAGACUCCGUCUCAAAAAAAAAUUCAGCGGGGUGUAUCUUCAAACUUUGUGCCAUUUUUUCCCUUGAAAUAAAAAAAAAAUUAGAAACUGGGACAGAUAUAUUUUUCCUAUUUGAAUGCUCAUGAAUAAAACUAUAUUUUAUACUCUAAAAUUAUAAUACCUUAACAGCAUGGUGGAACCACUAACAGAUAUGGCUUUUCAAUGGAUAGUCACUUUAGUACUUUAGUAUAAUACUUAAGAGAUCACACAAUACAUAAAAAUAAACCUCUAUCUCCAAUUUAUUAUGGUAUAAGUAUUACCAAAAUUAAAUUUGUACACCACUUUUAAGGUGUAAUAUUGUAAAACUCUGCACUACAAAGAAUUAAUUGAAGCAAACUCGCUCAGAUAAGAUCAUUUUGACCUCUGUUCUUCACGCUAGACAUUUUCAUUACAGAACAAAACAGUCACAAGUUUACUAAUCCUAAAUGACUUGGCAAAGCCAAUCCUAAUGACAAGGAUUUUGCCGAGUCAUGUAGGAUUUAAGUGACUCUGUGGUUCCUGGUGAGAUACAGUACUUCAAAACACACUGGCUGAUCCUCAGACCAAUGACCUGACAUCAAGUCAGAUGGAAGUAACUUUGAGUUUCAAACAUAGGGGAGGAUGGGUUUUUCUUAAGAAUGAAAAAAAAAACAACUCAGCUUUUCAUUCAGAGCAAUAUAUUCUGAGAAACAACUUAUCAUUUUGGUAAAAACAGGAGAAGCCUAAUCACUCAGCUUCUACUCUGGAGUAUAAAAUAGUUUUCACACUUUUAGUCCACAUGAAAAAUAGCUCCGCUGAAUUUCUAAUUGCUGUAUUUAGUGCUGAAUUUGUCCUUUUAUAUAUUGGCCACCUCCUUUUUGAAACUCUCUUCUUUUAUAGAUCUCAAACCACCUGAGAUCCCAAAUCCUGAGUCACCUUAAGUGGCUCUUUCUCUUCAUGUCUUUCUAAAAAUCCUUCUCAGUUUAUUCUGAAAAGCAGAAAACAAAAAGCAAAAUAAACAAACAAAGGCCUACAGCCACGUUUCCCAUUUGAAGAACCCUGCUCUCAUAAAUUAGGGGAUUCUUUUUUUUUU